UACGGAGGAUGCAAGCGUUAUCCGGAUUCAUUGGGUUUAAAGGGUGCGUAGGCGGAAUAUUAAGUCAGUGGUGAAAUCCUGCAGCUUAACUGUAGAACUGUCAUUGAUACUGGUAUUCUUGAAUGCAGUUGAGGUAGGCGGAAUGUGUAAUGUAGCGGUGAAAUGCUUAGAUAUUACACAGAACACCAAUUGCGAAGGCAGCUUACUAAACUGUGAUUGACGCUGAGGCACGAAAGCGUGGGGAGCAAACAGG
rnacentral:rRNA from 1 species